CAGGUUAAUAAUCCUGUACUUGGUGUUACUGCGAAGGGGGGACGGAGAAGGCUAUGUUGGCCGGGCGACGGUUGUCCCGGUUUAAGCGUGUAGGCUGGUUUUCCAGGCAAAUCCGGAAAAUCAAGGCUGAGGCGUGAUGACGAGGCACUACGGUGCUGAAGCGACAAAUGCCCUGCUUCCAGGAAAAGCCUCUAAGCAUCAGGUAACAUCAAAUCGUACCCCAAACCGACACAGGUGGUCAGGUAGAGAAUACCAAGGCGCUUGAGAGAACUCGGGUGAAGGAACUAGGCAAAAUGGUGCCGUAACUUCGGGAGAAGGCACGCUGAUAUGUAGGUGAAGCGACUUGCUCGUGGAGCUGAAAUCAGUCGAAGAUACCAGCUGGCUGCAACUGUUUAUUAAAAACACAGCACUGUGCAAACACGAAAGUGGACGUAUACGGUGUGACGCCUGCCCGGUGCCGGAAGGUUAAUUGAUGGGGUUAGCGGUAACGCGAAGCUCUUGAUCGAAGCCCCGGUAAACGGCGGCCGUAACUAUAACGGUCCUAAGGUAGCGAAAUUCCUUGUCGGGUAAGUUCCGACCUGCACGAAUGGCGUAAUGAUGGCCAGGCUGUCUCCACCCGAGACUCAGUGAAAUUGAACUCGCUGUGAAGAUGCAGUGUACCCGCGGCAAGACGGAAAGACCCCGUGAACCUUUACUAUAGCUUGACACUGAACAUUGAGCCUUGAUGUGUAGGAUAGGUGGGAGGCUUUGAAGUGUGGACGCCAGUCUGCAUGGAGCCGACCUUGAAAUACCACCCUUUAAUGUUUGAUGUUCUAACGUGGGCCCCUUACCGGGGUUGCGGACAGUGUCUGGUGGGUAGUUUGACUGGGGCGGUCUCCUCCUAAAGAGUAACGGAGGAGCACGAAGGUUGGCUAAUCCUGGUCGGACAUCAGGAGGUUAGUGCAAUGGCAUAAGCCAGCUUGACUGCGAGCGUGACGGCGCGAGCAGGUGCGAAAGCAGGUCAUAGUGAUCCGGUGGUUCUGAAUGGAAGGGCCAUCGCUCAACGGAUAAAAGGUACUCCGGGGAUAACAGGCUGAUACCGCCCAAGAGUUCAUAUCGACGGCGGUGUUUGGCACCUCGAUGUCGGCUCAUCACAUCCUGGGGCUGAAGUAGGUCCCAAGGGUAUGGCUGUUCGCCAUUUAAAGUGGUACGCGAGCUGGGUUUAGAACGUCGUGAGACAGUUCGGUCCCUAUCUGCCGUGGGCGCUGGAGAACUGAGGGGGGCUGCUCCUAGUACGAGAGGACCGGAGUGGACGCAUCACUGGUGUUCGGGUUGUCAUGCCAAUGGCACUGCCCGGUAGCUAAAUGCGGAAGAGAUAAGUGCUGAAAGCAUCUAAGCACGAAACUUGCCCCGAGAUGAGUUCUCCCUGACUCCUUGAGAGUCCUGAAGGAACGUUGAAGACGACGACGUUGAUAGGCCGGGUGUGUAAGCGCAGCGAUGCGUUGAGCUAACCGGUACUAAUGAACCGUGAGGCUUAACCUUACAACGCCGAAG
rnacentral:rRNA from 1 species